rnacentral:tRNA from 1 species
GGGGCUGUAGCUCAGUGGCAGAGCACUACUCACCUUGCACGUGUGAGGCACUGGGAUCAAUCCUCAGCACCACA